CCUACGGGAGGCAGCAGUGAGGAAUAUUGGUCAAUGGCCGGAAUGCUGAACCAGCCAAGUCGCGUGAGGGAAUAAGGCCCUAUGGGUCGUAAACCUCUUUUGUCGGGGAGCAAAGGCGUCCACGAGUGGACGAAAGGAGAGUACCUGAAGAAAAAGCAUCGGCUAACUCCGUGCCAGCAGCCGCGGUAAUACGGAGGUUGCGAGCGUUAUCCGGAUUUAUUGGGUUUAAAGGGUGCGUAGGCGGAGUGUCAAGUCAGCGGUAAAAUUUCGGGGCUCAACCCUGUCGUGCCGUUGAAACUGACACCCUUGAGUGAGUGAGAAGUACGCGGAAUGCGUGGUGUAGCGGUGAAAUGCAUAGAUAUCGCGCAGAACGCCGAUUGCGAAGGCAGCUUACCGGCGCUAAACUGACGCUGAGGCACGAAAGUGCGGGUAUCGAACAGGAUUAGAUACCCGAGUAGUC
rnacentral:rRNA from 1 species